AAGAAGGAGAUGGUGUCAAUUAGAUGGUAUGUGCUGUACGCCGCAAAAUCACACACACAUGUUCUACGCCUACAAGCUAACCACUCUCUCUCUCUCUCUCUCUCUCUGUCUCUCUCUCUCUAUAUGUUGGACAGAGCCACCGAGUUUUAUGGCUCAUGUGUGUUGUGACAGUGUGAAAGGCACAGGAAGGAAAGGCCGUGCUUCCUCUGAUGCUCCUGCUGCUGUGGCGUGGAGCAGAUAAGAACACACACACAUACACACACACACACAUGGAUGCACACAGCCAGCCAUGAACAAACAAAUCACAACACAGAUCCAUGCUGCCUAUGCUAACACCCCCACCCUCUGCAUCUCCCCGACAGAUCCGCUUCCACGUGGUUUGGCCUUAAUCAACCCCCUGCACACCCCUCCACUUCCAACUCCAGCUCACACAUUUUGAUUUGUUCUCGUCUCAACAAUUUGCACUCCCUGGUCCAAGUCAAAGUGUUUGCAUUGGCAGUGCUAGGCGAACACUGGAGGCUGUUAGUUUCAAAUAGGCAAAUAAUCACUGCUCAAAUUAACACUGAACUUUUCGGGUUAGUGAUACAAAGCAAUCAUCCUGGCUGCUCUGCUGUAACACACCAGUUGUAAUAGCAGAGUGUGUUUUUCUCCUGUCUUUUCUUUGGUUCAGUAACAUGGAUGCAUGGAAGAGAGAAGAAAAGCGCUUCCCUUCAGAAAUAAGUACAGAACUUCCUUGAAAGUGUAAAUGCUGUGCUUUCCAGGGUGAGACUGCUGCUGAGAGUGUGCGUCUGUUAUUUUCUGUGUCCGUGUGUGUGUGUGUGUGUGUGUGUGUGUGUGUGUGUGUGCCCGCUGACGUAAGCCCCUCUAUCUGAUGAUGCCCUUCUAAUCCCCACAGUGAUGUGUCAUGAAUAUGGAGUUUAAGACUCAAAUCCCCAGGGAUACACAGGCUAUAGAUAGCUUGCUCCUUCCAUGCACGCACGCACGCGCACACACACGCACGCACGCACGCACACACACACACACUCACUCACACACACACACACGCACACGCACACACGCACACUCACAAGACACACACCUCCAGCACCAGUCCCGCUCGGACACACACUGUGAACACACACCGCUUCUGACCCUUGUGACGUUGAAGGUGCAGAACAGGGAGAGGCCAGAAAAAGGUGAUUAAAAUGAAAGUAACAGCGUCAGAAGAAAUUCAACGGAUGUAGGAAAUAACUGAGGAAUGCAGAAAAUAAAGAAUGUGCUUAUGGAGCUGCUGAUUGGCUGUUAAAUUUAAAGGAUAGCUCCAGGUCAUUACAACUUGAGUCUUAACUUUGACCAUCGGGAGUAAUAACGCUGUAGUCACCGAGUUAAUAGCUGAGAUCUGGGAAUACUAACCCGGUCACAGAGGAAUUAUGUUUAUAUAUUACUAAAUUGUUUUGCCAGUUAUGUUAUGAUUUAAGAAAAAAAAAGAAACAAUUACUGCCUGGAAUAUGUUCAGAGACAACUUUUCUUUUAGUGAAUGAAACACCACAUUAAUGUACCGCACCAGAGUCGCAGAGAGGUGAUCCGAGUGGAUUGGGAGGAUACCAACUGCAGGAAUAUGACCCCAGAGACCGGAGUUCACUUCCAGACUUCUGAAUGUGGUUGAGUUUAGGGAACAAAAGCUCUUUGGUUAAGGUUAGGGAAAGAUUGUGGUUUCAGUUCAAGUCAGUGAUGACUUUUUUUUUUUUUUAUAUUAAACUAGACCACAACCAUAAAAAGUUUAAUAUUCCUGUGCAGUUGUUGUACUGCAGGAUCUAAUAUUUUAGAGGAAUUAACAUUCUCCUGAUACAACUCUUUUUUUUGUUACUCGCUUGCUUGAUACGUUAAUUAACAUUUCCUCAUUAUGUUAACAGACCAGUGAUGCCUUCGAAACAUGUGUUGCAAAUUUGCUGUAUAUAAAUGUAAUUUCUAAAAGAAGAGGUUAAGGAACAUGGCAACAUGGGUUAAAAAAGAAGUCCAAUGGGGCAGCAAGAACAGGCGGUAAGAUAAUCAUACACCUUUUAAACAAAUACCCAACUCGGACGAGAGCACGAAGGUGGACAGUAAAACUAUUACCGAAACUGUCCGUCGUAAGCAUCCAUCACAGUUUACAGUCAUCUUCAACUUUGACCAACGUAUUGAUCAGAAUCAGAAUCAACUUUUAUUGGCCAGUUAUGUUGAUAUAUACAAGGAAUUUGGCUCUGGUUCUCAGUAACUCUUACUACACUCACACAAAGUGCAAAGAACAAGUUUAGAGGCAAAUACAGAUGCAGACACACAACUAAAUUAACAGAAGCAAACUUAAAACACACAGCAGCUGGGUAACGAUAUACAGUGGCCAGACAUGGAUCAAUCUCACCCGGAAUUGGGUUUCAUAUCCCGGAAGCAGAGAUGUACACAUGGGUCACUUUCAUCGACUCUCUGCGGCCAUGGCCAUAGGUAUCCAUCAUACAGACCAUUGACUGGUUGUGACCAUGAAGGUACAAAUUCAUCACAAAGAAAGGCUGCGGUGGAUGAGGUCAGCGGAAAAGGAGCGACGACUUCUCGUCUGCACCCGCUGGAGAUAAAUAACAGACGUGGGGAUUCUGUCAUGAUCUGGACUCUAGACAGAACCGGGCUCGGCAGAGGACUGAGCGAGAGGAGAAGAAGAAGAAGGGGAAGGAUGGAGCGGGAGACAGAUGAGGGAUAGAUGAGGAGAAAGACGAUGGUGAAGAUUGAUUGCAGCUGACUCCAGUCCAGUGCGCUGAAAACUGUGAGAUUCCAACAGCCAGUCUGAAACACACUUGCACACACACCUACGAGAUAUGGUGAAUAGUUGGAAAACACAAACAAACGUUUUCGAGGCCAAGGAGAGUCUUACAACACUCGAGUAUAAAUUAAAACACAAAUGGGUAAAGACUAAUCACAACAGCAUAUUUGUUUCAUUCCCUAUUCUCAUAGUGUUUGCAUUGGUAGGUGAAGACUAACACACACACACCUACACACUCCUAAAACCCCCCUCCAUAUCUGGUUAAUGCUCUCUAGUGUGUGUCUCUUGGGAAAAGCCUGCUUUAAUUCCCCAGGAAAUCAUUGUGAUUUAGAGUAGCA